rnacentral:tRNA from 2 species
GCCGACGUAGCUCAGCGGCAGAGCAAAGGACUCAUAAGCCUUCGGUCGGUGGUUCGAUUCCACCCGUCGGCACCA